rnacentral:rRNA from 1 species
UCCUGGGAUAACACUGACGUUCAUGCUCGAAAGCGUGGGUAGCAAACAGGAUUAGAUACCCUGGUAGUCCACGCCCUAAACGAUGUCAAUUAGCUGUUGGGCAACUUGAUUGCUUAGUAGCGUAGCUAACGCGUGAAAUUGACCGCCUGGGGAGUACGGUCGCAAGAUUAAAACUCAAAGGAAUUGACGGGGACCCGCACAAGCGGUGGAUGAUGUGGAUUAAUUCGAUGCAACGCGAAGAACCUUACCUGGUCUUGACAUGUACGGAAUCCUCCAGAGACGGAGGAGUGCCUUCGGGAGCCGUAACACAGGUGCUGCAUGGCUGUCGUCAGCUCGUGUCGUGAGAUGUUGGGUUAAGUCCCGCAACGAGCGCAACCCUUGUCAUUAGUUGCCAUCAUUAAGUUGGGCACUCUAAUGAGACUGCCGGUGACAAGCCGGAGGAAGGUGGGGAUGACGUCAAGUCCUCAUGGCCCUUAUGACCAGGGCUUCACACGUCAUACAAUGGUCGGUACAGAGGGUAGCCAAGCCGCGAGGUGGAGCCAAUCUCACAAAACCGAUUGUAGUCCGGAUUGCACUCUGCAACUCGAGUGCAUGAAGUCGGAAUCGCUAGUAAUCGCAGGUCAGCAUACUGCGGUGAAUACGUUCCCGGGUCUUGUACACACCGCCCGUCACACCAUGGGAGUGGGGGAUACCAGAAGUAGGUAGGGUAACCGCAAGGAGCCCGCUUACCACGGUAUGCUUCAUGACUGGGGUGAAGUCGUAACAAGGUAGCCGUAGGGGAACC